UUGAUACCCCUUGGAGAACAAAGUCUUCUCUUUUUCCACAAGUACAGGUAGAGUGCAGGCAGCAAUAGAGCAUGCUUCCCUAUGCUGCUUCAUCAGUGAUCCAAGCCUCAGCUGGAAGGAACACCUCUUCUGAUGAAGGUGUAGUUCAGGCUCUAUGGCCAUUCAGUCCUUGGUUUCU
rnacentral:sRNA from 1 species